CAUUUGUUCUCUAAAUAAGGACUUGUAUGAAUGGCCACACGAGGGUUUCACUGUCUCUUACUUCCAAUCAGUGAAAUUGACCUCCCCGUGAAGAGGCGGGGAUAAACUAACAAGACGAGAAGACCCUAUGGAGCUUUAACUAACCAAUUUAAAGAAAACAUAAUAAACCACUCAGGGAAUAACAAUAUUUUCUUAUAAGUUGGCAGUUUCGGUUGGGGCGACCUCGGAGAAUAAAAAAUCCUCCGAGCGAUUUUAAAGACUAGACCUACAAGUCAACUCACUUAAUCGCUUAUUGAUCCAAAAAGCUUGAUCAACGGAACAAGUUACCCUAGGGAUAACAGCGCA
rnacentral:rRNA from 1 species